rnacentral:rRNA from 1 species
UGAGGAAUAUUGGUCAAUGGGCGGGAGCCUGAACCAGCCAAGUCGCGUGAGGGAAGACGGUCCUAUGGAUUGUAAACCUCUUUUGUCGGGGAGCAAAGAGGCCACGUGUGGUCAAAAGCGAGAGUACCCGAAGAAAAAGCAUCGGCUAACUCCGUGCCAGCAGCCGCGGUAAUACGGAGGAUGCGAGCGUUAUCCGGAUUUAUUGGGUUUAAAGGGUGCGUAGGCGGGACGGUAAGUCAGCGGUAAAAAGUGCGGAGCUCAACUCCGUCGAGCCGUUGAAACUGCCGUUCUUGAGUGAGCGAGAAGGUAUGCGGAAUGCGUGGUGUAGCGGUGAAAUGCAUAGAUAUCACGCAGAACUCCGAUUGCGAAGGCAGCAUACCGGCGCUCAACUGACGCUGAAGCACGAAGGCGUGGGUAUCGAACAGGAUUAGAUACC